AUUUGAAAAUAACUAAAAUUUUAAAAAUUUAUGAUGUUUGAAUAUGUUAAAGGGAAAUAAAAAGGAAAAGACUUUAUUGUGCAAAUUUCUCAAAAACUAAGGGUAAAAUUGGCAUUACAAAAUUAAAAUAAAAAUCUGUCGGACAUAAAGGCUCUUUUAUUGUAUAGUAUAGAAAUGAAAAGUAAUGCUUAUGUUAUGGCGGUCUAAGGCGUUUGAAGAAUAUUAUAAAUUUUUUUACAAGUUUCUGGAUUUGAGAGUUUGAGAUGGAUUGUAAUUCUACUAGAAUGUUGUUUUGAGGUGUAAUAUUACUAAAAUGUUGUACUGACUUGUAAUUAUGGGCAAAUUUUGAGAACAUACAUGUGAUUCAAGGUUCUCAAACUUGCUUUUUUAACCUAGAAUCGG
rnacentral:misc_RNA from 1 species